rnacentral:rRNA from 1 species
AAUGAACGCUGGCGGCAGGCCUAACACAUGCAAGUCGAACGCUGCAGCAAUGCAGAGUGGCAGACGGGUGAGUAACGCGUGGGAACCUUCCCAAAGGUACGGAAUAGCCCAGGGAAACUUGGGGUAAUACCGUAUAAGCCCCAUGGGGGAAAGAUUGAUCGCCGUUGGAUGGGCACGCGUCGGAUUAGCUAGUUGGUGAGGUAACGGCUCACCAAGGCGACGAUCCGUAGCUGGGUGGAGAGAAUGACCAGCAAAUCUGGGACUGGGACGCGGCCCAGACUCCUACGGGAGGCAGCAGUGGGGAAUCUUGGACAAUGGGCGAAAGGCUGAUCCAGCCAUGCCGCGUGAGUGACGAAGGCCUUAGGGUUGUAAAGCUCUUUUGGCGGGGACGAUAAUGACGGUACCCGAAGAAUAAGUCCCGGCUAACUUCGUGCCAGCAGCCGCCGUAA